UCAAAUUCAACAGUAGAUAGUAGAACAUAGUCAUGCCUUUGAAGAAGUUACCUUCCAAGUUCAUUGCUUACCUAUAGUUUUGCUUAUCUGCAUCUUUUCCAGCUCUAGUAGGUAGAUCAUAAAAUACUAUUGGUAGCAUGAAUUGGUCAGGACCCUAGGAGUGGUCCCCUCUGUAUGAGAAGGUAAUCUAUGCUUUUGUUGGGCAGUGAGAUAAAUGACGAAGCAAAGUGGCUGGUGCUUUGAUUCCUGGAAAGAGGUUACUUAAAGCCAUGAGAUGAGCAUUCAAAAGAAACUAAAUGUAAGUAAAGUCAGAUUAUUCUGUGCCAUUAGAUAAUGAAACCAUGAGUCAAGAGCUGUCUCCCUCGUACUACACCACAAUUUGUAAAGACAGAAAUCUGGUGAUGGGAUCAGUGGCAACAGAAGGGUUACAAUUCUUUGAUACCAGAAUAUAACACAUUAUCAUAGAAUUAAACAUGUAGGUCUCAUUGAAAGUAUAAUUGGCUUUAUUCUUAAGCCCCUUAUUUUUAAUAUUUUAUCAAUUGUAUACUAUUAUUUUAAGAACAUUCUGCAUCAGUUGUAAAGAUUUUUUUGAGCAAUGUUUAAAAGUCUAGGUAGUAUUAUUUUUCUAAGUAGAGAAAUGUGUGGUCUGAAGUUGCUAUUCUUUUUCAAUCUUAGCCCCCAGGUUAGAGGCAGUCUAAGAGUAACCUUGAUAGGAACAGAGGCUGUUCUUAGUAGGUUAGCCUCCAUUCAGUAAACUUAGGGGAGCCAAUCAUGGACACCAUUGUCAAGUGCCUUGCCAUCUCUCUUAAGACUGCCAUUGACUUGGCAUUUUACCUUCGGUGGCUCCUUUUUUCAAGUGUUGGCAAAACUGGUAGGUUCUCAAGUUCUCCUGGCUGUGAAAGGGGUGUGAAACCACCCUGGGGAUAAUGAUCAGCAAUAAUAAAAAUUACUAGGUUUCUCAAACUAGAUAGUGGAAAAGAAAAGCAAGGAGAACUUAGCCGUCAGAACGUAUUUCCAUGGGCGACAGCCUUUUAAUUUUUCAUUCAAUCUUUUAAAAAUAUUACUUGAUACUAGAUACAGACUCUGCCUAAUACAGGCAUAGUCUAGAUGGUCCCCUUAAGAUUAGUACAACACAAGAAUAAAGGAGACAUCUGAUCUUCUGAAUCAGUAUACACUGAGCCAUAGCAAAUGAAAAUAAGGUAUUAUUCCAGUGUUUGACUAAACCUCCUUCCCCAUCAACAGUACUUGUAUGAAAAUUCCUUAUUUAUAUUUUUGUCUACCAUUAGCACAGAUUAUGGGUAAAUAGUUCUGGUUGUCGAGAAGCUUAAGUACAUAAUUUUUUGCUGUAUUUAGGUGAACUUUCUACACGAAACCUUUUGUUUGACAGAUGAUUUACCAUCUUUCUACCGUGGAGAUUGACAGUGAGGGCAUGAGGGCCCACUUGGAAGUCCCGUGUGCUUGAAUUGUUAUGACUGUGGUAUCUAGUCCUUGUGACUGAUGCCAUCUGGCUUUCAGAUCAAUCUCCAGAGAGCAACUGUCAUUCCCAGGGCUGGUGAAGGAACUGAAUAUAUUCAUUUGUGAAGACUCAUGUAAGCCUUUUCAACAUUGCCAUUCCUGACUAGUAACUCUAUAGAAAUGCAAUCUGCUGGUUGUCAGUGGAACAUCAUAUGGAGUGCAAGAGUCCACAUCUGCCUCAAAUCAUUUGAAGUACCAUGAGUUGAAUGGCCUUCCCUUCCUUUGUGGAAAUUGUCUUUCAAAAUUAUGCCUCGGGAGAGGCAGAGGCUAUUUUAAUGAGGUCUGUCCCACAAAAGAAUGAAUGUGCAUGUCUGUGUAAAGAGUAGAAUAACAUUCCAUCAGGAGUUGGGCAUAACCCAGGCAUUCUUUGUACAUGUUUUUAGAACUCUGAUGAGUUGCAGAUCUAGCUCUCCUUGCUUUUUACAUCCACCCAUACUACUCCCUUUCCAUAAACUUUAUUCUACAUAAUGCACCAAACGUAUGUUAGUUGCACUUCUCCCUCUACACCUCCUAAGCAUAGUAAAUUUUUGGAGUGAAGGAAAAAGUAAGCCCUUUCCAUUGCUAAUUUAUCUGAAGAUAGAUUAUAUUCUGAAUAGCAAGAGAGUCCCAUUACCAGUUGCAUUUCUGUUGUUCUUUGCUGGAGUUUGCCCUUCAUUCGGGGGUAUCUGCUGCGUAAUAAAAUAAGCUGUUCCCAGGAAAUAAGACACCAGUCCACUGUGUCUAGAGCUAUUUGAGAAAAAAAAUAUUUUUUUUCCUUCUUUAUUGCCUUAGCUAUUGUGUAACAUAAUAAGACCAACAGUUCUGACAUUUGAUCUGCUAUGAAGAUUAUAUGUUGAGUCUAAAAGGAGAGUUCUCCCUCAUCCUUAACUCAGAAGUGGGGAGCUACAAAACUAGAAUUGUGAAUUCAUAUUUCUGUAUAAGCCAUUGUUGGUUGUGCAUUGAAGAGUAAUCAACAGAUGGCAGAAGUGGAGUUGUCCUACAUAUCAGUAUUUUGUAAAACCCACUCAAUUCAUCACUAUGAGGAGAAAAAGUUUUAAUUCCUUGAUGCAUGCUGGCUGUGAACAUUUUAUUCUUUACUGUCCUAAUGACUGGUGGAAUCCAACUCAAGCAUCAAGCUUUUAGAACCUAUUUUUCACACCAUCUCAGUUUUAUUUCUAGGCUACUUUGUAGGACUCACAAAACUCACUAAUUAGGAUGCUUAAUUUGUAAAAUUGGUCUGGGUUUUGUUUUGUUUUUGGUUUGAGACUGGGUACCCAGUCAUUUUUUUACCCUUCUCUGAUUGUGCUGACAUUCCGUUUUACAUGCAUCCUGUACCUUAAGUGAUCUGUACUAGUAACUGCAAAAAUUGUUGAUGCAGUGGCACUUAGUAACCAGGGCAGUGUUCAACUGCUCAUUACCUUAGAUGAAGCCCCCCAAAACUCAAUUUCUUUCAGAAAUUUAAAACAAUGAAUGAUUCUUUUUCUGGAAGCACCAUCUAGUGGUCAAAGCUCAAAGCAUUAUUUAGUAAGUAUAGAAAACUGUUAUUAACAUAGUUUAAAUGCUAAUUUCAAGAAUUUGAGAGGCUUUAGAAGUGACAUUUACAUGUUAGUCAAAACAUCCUGAUGUCAAAUAGAAGGGUAGAGGUUUAAGAUGAGUUAGAAGUUGAACCUCUUUCAAAAUUCUUGGCUAUGUGGCACUGUACAACUCUCUUAACCCUCAAUUUGAUAAUGUAAACCAGAGAUGCUUCUCUCAGGAUGAUUGUGAGAAAGUUUGGCACAGUGUCUUCCCUUUUCAGUUAUAGAAUGUACAAACUACCUUAGAAAGAAGAUAAGGUACCCGUCAUGUUGGCUGAGCAUCAUUAGCUUAAUAACAUUUUCUGCUCAAGGGAAGAAAACACCAUGCUGCUUUGGGCAGUAAUGUUCAAGCACAACCUGCCUUCUUGCUUCAGGAAGAGUUAACUGGGAAGCUUGACAAUCCAGGUAUGUGAGGAGUAUAGACAACACAAAAGUGGUUGGCUCUAACACAGAGAAGAAAUAGUACUUCUUGGGUGGGCAGACACUGAUCUCUCAAUUCCCUCAACAGUGGGAAGCUGAGGCAACUGAGUCAAGAGCUUUCUUCAGAGACAAAGGCAGUGUCAGGAAUAUUUCUCACAAGUGUGUUACAUUUGCUUUCUUUGGUGUUUGGAAGCACUCAUUCCCAGCUCUCCUUCUCCCUUCACACUAAGACAAUCAUCCAUCUAUAGGGGAAACAUUCACUUCUCCACAGGUAACUAACUUCAUAUUAUUCUUUAAUAGUCUCUUAUAGUUUCAUCUUCAAGAACUACAGCAUGUUCUUCCCCUCUUGACACCCUCAUAAUCUUUUC
rnacentral:lncRNA from 1 species